AGUGAACGCUGGCGGUAGGCCUAACACAUGCAAGUCGAACGGCAGCACAGUAAGAGCUUGCUCUUACGGGUGGCGAGUGGCGGACGGGUGAGGAAUACAUCGGAAUCUACUUUUUCGUGGGGGAUAACGUAGGGAAACUUACGCUAAUACCGCAUACGACCUACGGGUGAAAGCAGGGGAUCUUCGGACCUUGCGCGAUUGAAUGAGCCGAUGUCGGAUUAGCUAGUUGGCGGGGUAAAGGCCCACCAAGGCGACGAUCCGUAGCUGGUCUGAGAGGAUGAUCAGCCACACUGGAACUGAGACACGGUCCAGACUCCUACAGGAGGCAGCAGUGGGGAAUAUUGGACGAUGGGCGCGAGCCUGAUCCAGCCAUACCGCGUGGGUGAAGAAGGCCUUCGGGUUGUAAAGCCCUGUUGUUGGGAAAGAAAAGCAGCAGGUUAAUACCCCGCUGUUCUGACGGUACCCAAAGAAUAAGCACCGGCUAACUUCGUG
rnacentral:rRNA from 1 species